UACGUAGGGGGCAAGCGUUAUCCGGAUUCACUGGGUGUAAAGGGAGCGUAGACGGCCAUGCAAGCCUGGAGUGAAAGCCCGGGGCCCAACCCCGGGACUGCUCUGGGAACUGUGCGGCUGGAGUGCGGGAGGGGCAGGCGGAAUUCCUAGUGUAGCGGUGAAAUGCGUAGAUAUUAGGAGGAACACCAGUGGCGAAGGCGGCCUGCUGGACGACAACUGACGGUGAGGCGCGAAAGCGUGGGGAGCAAACAGG
rnacentral:rRNA from 1 species